rnacentral:lncRNA from 1 species
GCCACUGAAAGACCUGGGCAACUUUCACUGAGAAUAGGUGGCUGUGGCCAGCCGCUUUACGGAAAGGCACCAGGAGUUUGGCAUGUAUAGUCAACACUACAAUGAUUACUUGAAGUCAGUGGAAGCAGUGGACGAAUAUAUGAGAGAUAUAUGUUUCUUACAACUGAUUGAAAGCUGACUCACAUGAAGAUACAAGAUUCACAGGCAGUAUGUCCUUCCUCGUUGGCAGCACUUUCUGCUGAACCUGCCAGUGAAAUGAAGCCUAUGACUUUCUGGGGAGGCUAGUCCUCAAUUUUUCCUGCAAAGGUUUGGUCCAGGUGGGGUUUUUCCAAAGUGUGCAAACUGCACUUCAAUUAAAGAAGUCUGCAGGGCACAUAGAGCAGAUGAACAGCAAGUGUGCUGAGACUUCUCUUGACAAGACUUUGGCAGGUGGGAAGCCCAAGUGAAAAGCAAGCAUUUGGAAAUGCUAUAUGGAAGCAAAUAUUUAACACGCCAGAGGACUGGGAAAUAAUGUUGGUUGCUCAUCAUGUUUCCCAUUUUCUUGGAAUUUCUAGAAGGAAUUCCUUGUGAUUACAGAUAAUAAAAAGAAUCCAGCAUAUUCAAAUCUGAGGAAUUGCAACAAUCCAAAUCUUGUGCUUUUAAACAGCUGCUAAAAGGAAAGGCAGCAGUUAUUAAUUCACUAGCACCAUUUUUUUUUUCCUAAACUGAAAUACUGACUGCAUUCAUUUUGGCUAAAGUCAUUCUUGGAAGCUUUAAAAAUUCCCAGUAAGAGUCUUUCAUUUUUGUAAGUGCAGAUGAUUUUCUGUUGGCUUUUGCUUAACUUCAGCUGACUUUCAUGUGAAUGUACCGCAGACAGGGGGUUAAAAUGGCCAGAUGGUUGCUGCAAAAUGCUUUUCUGACUUGAACUUCUCCUCUUCCUCACCUCUUUCAUAUGCUUCAAUCCUCAGCACUAUGGACUUGGGAUAGAAGUAUAAAUUAUUUUGAUGGAUGUUCUGGCUGCUUUACCAGCUUAAAAACAAGGUAAUUGAAU